rnacentral:lncRNA from 1 species
GAGUGGGAGGCUUCUGGGCCAAUUUAACAGAUUGCCAUUUCUAUGAUUUAUCACCAUACUGCACCAUCCACCAUUGCCACACUGUACUACAAACUGCAAGUCCAGGGCGGUUUAUCCUGCCUUCUAGGAUCCCUCAUCAUCACCACGUCACCCGAACAUCCUUAGAGACAGAGGGAUCAGCAAUCACCACCAAUCCAGCAUGCGAAUCUCGGUCCGUCAACUGUGACCUCAACUCCACACCUCAGCAGCUGUAAAUUUGCCUUCGGACUUUGCAAAUAUGUAUGUUGUUACAGGGUGGUUAACUUCGCCAGCGGCCCCCUUUCCCGGGGCAGUCCCUGCUCUCCCCUGCUAGAGGGGCACCCUAAUCCGUCACCCCAUCCGACUUCAGAAUGUAUUCGUUGGGUUCGGCAACUCACCACCAGCAUCCAACCAAAUCUAGCGGAUCAACGGCGCAUCAACUUAGUUCCUGGUCAGCUCGCAAGUUGAUAUUAUCACGUCCUACACCGUCCAUAUGAUGGGGGGCCACCUCCCAUUUUAUCACUCCUCAAACACCCGAGGAGCUGGCAGGCGGAUUUGAACCCGGGUCGACUGGAUCGACUGGGAGCAGAAGUCAGGCCUUAACUUCUGCCAGCCGCCUGCCUGCAAAUAUGUAUGCCAUCGACUGCAUGAAAGCCUGCAUGAGUUAGGACGAGCGCAGGCAGGAAACCCUAAGGCACUGAUUGGGUCAGUAACCCAUGGGUUACCCAUCUUCAACCCCCGGUAGCCCUUCGGUAACCCCCUUGUAAGUUCCUACCCAGCAGGAGGGGUAACACGGCCCCAGGGUAAACCCCUCCGUUGCCCUGGACUAUGGACAUAUGUAUGGGCCUAUAGGCUACUCGUCUUAUAUGCUUCCCACAUCGUAAAUUCCGCUUAAGGAUACUUCUAAAAAUGUAAACGUUAGCAACCUACAGUAUCGUGGUAUCUCGGGAAGCAUCGUUUGCCAUUUCAACCUUAAGGUCUCUAAUGCUAGCAUCACACACGCAAGGAAUAAGCAAUAAGUACCUAUGUCUUGGCCUGUUUGGCUUGUAGAUGAGUACAGGAGAAGGGGCGAAUGCUGGCAGCACACACGCAAGUCGACGACAGGUCUUCACUAAAUGGAUGCCUUUGGUUGUCAUCCAAUGUUAUAUAAUAGUUGUCAUUGUGAAACAUCAGGCAGUCAGCCCUGAGGUCGGCCGACAUAUUACCGGCCGGGGGUGGUCGUACGCAUAUGUGCAUGCUACUUUACCUCCAUUGAUACUCCUGACAAGCACAUUCAAGCUGAAUCAUAGCUAAUUAGCUUGUAAGCUCAUAUAGUCUGGUCUUUUAAUUAGACGGACAUGCUACAAUAAGCGAUGACCACUAUCACGAAUUCAGGCACCAAGCAGUGGAUGGGGCCAGCGAAGCGGUGUCCGCUUUUCACGAGCUGGCAGGUUUGCCUACCCCAUGCAUACAUUCCUUGUGUGCCGGAGUCCAGGAAGUCGCCCGUCGGACGCUGUCGGCAACCCCCAGGAACUUAGUCGUCGCAACCCCGAAGGAGGUGUCGCAACUGGUGGAAUAUCAUAUCCGCGAAGGUGUGCCCUUGCUCACUAGAAUGGUCGUCACAGGCGCGGUGCUCACGUUCUGCGGUUUGCUCUGCUUUGACGAUCUAAGCCAUGUGCUGGUGCAUACCGACCUGCUCCAUAUCUACGGAGAUCGCGUGGAAAUCUUUUUAUUCAAAAGCAAGACCGACCAGCACUGCAAGGGUGCCUUUGUGACCAUCAGCAGAAUCGGCGGGCCGUGCUGCCCGGUGCUUCCUUUUGGAGCAGCUGCGGACACCACGCAUGUCGGUGCGGCACGAUGGGGUUGAAGCCGAUGCGGAGGAUGUCGGCCCAUUGCUGCGCGCUGUCAACGUCCUGCAUCCAACGUCCGUCAACUGCCUAGAGGAGGUCGUGGCGGCACUCCCGUCUACAGUCGAGGCUAUGCCUUUUCACAAGUUCCGCGACAUGCUCUGGACGUUAUGCACGGAGGCAGGCGUGCGGCGCGACUUGUGCCCGCACUCCCUACGCCGUGGGGGCGCCACGGCCCUCGUGUAAGGCGGCGCUGACCGGGCAGAGGUGCAAAAGCUGGGGCGGUGGAAGAGUAACACCGUUUUCGAGUUUGCAUACGUCCGCGAGGACGGGGCGUGGCGGCGAGCAGUGACGGCACACAUCCCGCUAGGGUACAUUCCCCGUAACACCUAGACAGUUGGUUUUCUCCAGCAAGAGCUAGGAAGCAUGACCAGGCAGCCCACUGCCGCUGCACCAACCUCCACUCGAGGAACGGACCUAUCUUAAGGUCCCACUUACCCGCUUAGUAUUUGCUUAGUGGCAGAAAUAUGCAAGAAAUGUUACAAAAGCUCUUGCAGCAACGCAUUCGAUCAUGAACGCAUUUAGCUUACAUCUGUCACAGAUUUGAAAAUUUCAAAACUCUGCGCCUGAACAGCUCAACAGUGGCAGUUAAAUGUUGAUCUUACACCUCCAGAAAGUAACUGCUAACUUAGAAUCAGGCAGUACACUGGACCUCAGUAUUAACACACACCGCCGCCUCAAGGAACGCAGCUGGACUUACCACAGAUGCAUGGCAUCCGCCAUAAGCUAGAAAACCCACAACAGGGAAGACCUUGGCUCUCCCAGCGGCCGUGAGCACCCGACAGGCUGGUGCUCCUCCCCUUCCCAACACGGGGGUGGCAAUAUGGGCAGCCAAGGGUUUACCCUGCACUGCCCAUGAAGCCGCCCCACUAAGGGUUUACCCUGCACGCCCCAUGAAGCCGCCCUAGCGAAGCAAGAGCGACGCUAAUAUCAAUGUAUACAUUUAAUAGAGCCAAAGCACAGCCUUAUAGCUGAUCACCACUACAUAUAUCACAAUCUUCAACGUGGCUGCUGUAGGAAGAGGUUUAGGAUGCAUGCGGGGGGUUAAUGGAGAUACCAAGAAGAAGCGUCACGAAGCUACGAAAUAAACCUCAGCUCCUCAGCGCGCCAAGCAAACCAUCAUAAGUUGUUGCUGACAACACCGAUUGUACGCCGCAUAUAGCUACCCAUGCAGACAUGCAAACCGGACAGGUAGAGAAUUAAUAGGUACACAUUAACUGUAGGUUUUCUGAGUGAAACGAAAGAAAAACAAGGUGUUUUGUGUAUUUGCCGAGAGUGUACUUGGUUGGAUGUCGUUGGUGUGUACGGCUGGACCGUACAGGGCUAGAAUAGGUCGCGCGAGUUCAUAGUGUCAGUACUGACAGGCUUCCGCUGCGGCUUCUGCCCUAACCUACAGUGUUCAGCAGCAGAGUCGCUCGGUAACCAGGCUCACCCCCCACCACCCACGGAAGUCAAGCACACUUUCCUGCCUGCAGGUACCCCUCCGUCUGUACGACCCCUAAGCGGUAAGGCAACUACUCAAAAAACUGUAGUUGUGUGUGAUUACUCGUCAUGCUAUAAAUUUGUGACUAGGCCCUCAUACACGAAUGCUGAUAUCACUGUAAAGCUUACCUAGCACAAUGCAAGGUAGGCUUGCAGUAGCAGCACGCAACCGCAGCAGGUCAGAUAGGCAUCAUACAAUAAACAUCGCCAUACAUCCACCGGCUCAGAGCAGCGCUUCACUGACUGCACAGCAAGAGUAGACAGCAUCAGACAGCAAGUAGACGCAGCUGCCGCUGCUGGCGCCGCCCUGGCACAUUCCCGCGGGUGUACUGCAGGAGCCGCCGGUUUGCAGCACCAUGCACAGGCGCAAUCCCGUAGCUGGGGUCACUGGGAAGGUGUUAUCCAGCUUGUCGAAGAUGAGCAAGCCGAACUGCUCGCCCUUCCACUUUUUCGUCCGGUAGUUGAAGGUCACAACUUCACCAUUGAUUGUGGUACUCUGGAGGCGCUUGGCAUCGUCACUCACGCAGGAUAUGUCUGUAGGGCAGGUAGGGCAGGUGGGGCACGAGGGGUUUAUUCACGUGCCGGGCAGUGUUUUUUAAAGAAAUAUAUUCCUUAAAAGGAAUAAACAGGCAAUUUUGGCCUUUAGAAAAACGGAAUGAAUUGAGGCCGAUCCGUACAUUUUCAUUCCCCCAGCCAAAAACGUCCAUUGCUGCCAGAUUGCUCCGUAGUGUGCAGAACUUAGAAUUAUCAAUCAUAGGAUAGAUAUGAGGGGCCGUAAGAAGGUCAAGCCCGUGAGUCAACGCGGCAUAGCAGAAUGUAUGACCGGUCCUCACAUAGCCAAACACGCAAAAGGCAACGACUCGAACAUCGAACAAACACCAAAACAGCAAGAUAAGCCUGAAACUUUUUUCCUGAUAAAGGCGUUUGGGAUGGCGGUGCUGUUGUCGGUAAUGCAUCGGCAAUGGUGUUGCUGCCAGCGGCGACCGAUGACACGGGCGCCAUACGGACAGUAGCAGCAGGGGCCGGUACAUGAUGAACCGGUAGAGUCCUAGUGUGCUGUGGUUUGCAGUGGCGGGUGACGGCCUGUGAUUUGCUAUGCGUUUGCUUGCUUUGGGCUUUUGCUUGGUCGGAUUUACUUAUUGCUCACAAAUAGGGUUGGCACGGGUACUAUACUAGAAAAGAGUACUAUACUAUAAUAGUACUAUGCAUAGUACUAUUUACUAUGCAGGGCUCUAAACUGGUACUAGUUUACGACGCUCGUACCGCGUUCGUACAUAGUAAAAUAGUAUAGUAAAAAUAGUACUAGAUAGUACUAGAUUUGGGUUUGGAUAGUGUCCAGUAUUAGUUGGACCAAGUCGAGAUCUGCAGUCAAGCUGUAUUUUGAAGGGCUAUAGCCGCGUCUUCGAGCUGUGCUACGUAGUUAUUGAUGAAUAAUGUCAAAGGAAUCCAGUAUAAAGAAUGACAAGGCGAUCAGAGGCUUGCAUCCUGGUCCAGACGUCCCCCCUGAAGUUCUCCGUUCUCGGAACGAGCUUAUUAACAAGCUACGUAACCAGAAGAAGAACGCCAAGACGGGUAGUCUUUGGGACAACUUCGAUGUGGAGUGGUGGUCUACCAAAGCUAGUCUGCCUGUUCUGCGAUGAGCCGCUCAGCGCCGCGAACCCAUCCUUUACCAACGCGCACCACAUCAAGCAAGGUGCUUGCAAGGCUAUCAAACAGCGUGCAGCGUCACUCAGCCAGCAACAGCAACAGAGUGGAACCAGCUCUGCUGCGGCGGGUCCCAGCACGGCGGAUCAGCAGGCCCUCUCCAAGCGCCGGCGCGGCAUUGAUGGCCAGACCCUCCUCCCAGUGAUUCCCGCGACUCUCGCGGGGCAAGUCUUCACUAGUAUGGCGUCCGUGUGUUGUCUUGUCAACACUGGGUCUUCUAUCUGUGAUUAUGUCUUUAUGUGCCAUAACACGCCUUGAGACAUGGGGUUUGGGGUCCACCUACCGGGCACUGAACUAACAAAAAGUGAUCUGGAUGACCACAGCGAUCUGCUUUCUCAUGUCUAAGUAGGUAUUUAGAAAGAACAAAAGAAGACCUUUCCAACGGUGUAAUUUUCAGGUACAACGGUUGGUCGUACACCCCCCUUCUACAGGGAGCGUGUACCUGCCUAGUAAUAGUAUCAUAGUACUACAUUACUAUAUAUAGUACUAUUUCUUACUAUACUAUACUAUUUGGGUAAAAAAAUAUAGUAUUUUUGCCAACCCUACUCACAAACAGUGCCAGAACUAUCUAUGCAUGUGCAUGAAGAGUGCACACAUGAACGAAAACGCGCCAACUCAGUGCGUGCCUCUUGGUCUAUGAGGGGAGUUGUAACUUAUCGGGGGGGGUCUGGGGGGCCCCCCGUAGCCCCCCCCAGCGCCCCACACUUACGGAAUAAAUUACGGCGACCCUAGCAACUGUGUUACUUAGGUCGGAAUAAAUUGAGACCCGCCCUAAAUGAAAAAAAUCACUGGUGUCGGGUAGGCAUGCACUUUGUCAGUCAAGCAUCUGGUAAAGUUUGGGUGUAUUUCCAGUGUGGAUUAAGGCCAGGGAUUAACCCUCUGUCCUCCAUCGAUACUAGUAGGCGAGGUAAGUUUGCCAAGCAAGUACUUGCUCAAACGGCUAAGUUGUUGCCAAACUUACCUCGCCUUUUCAACCUUUGGUUUCCUUAUGGAACGAAACUAUGUGGUAAGCUCGUACCAAGGACUUCCGUGCCCUAAUCCCUGGCCUUAAUCCGCACUGGAAAUGCACCCUUUAAGAACGUGUGUCUAUAGACCAGCCCUGUAGUCUAUUAUACCAUGGCACGAUCUAUAGACUAUUCCGUACAAUGAGUAAACAUAUGAUUUAUCUCUCAGUAUAGACCAUAAACAAAUAUCGACGAACGCAAUCCUAAUGGUGAGAAACUGAAGUCCAUUCCCGAAUGAACGUAUAUGCCAAAAGAGUUUGUCCUUGAUUUGCCCUAACACCUUUUAGAUAAUUAAUUCUGGAUAUGGCGCUGGGAUUGACAUGUAUGAACCCGGCAAAGUUAUUUUCCUAUCGUUAUGUAUGGGUUCGUGAUAGGCUCCAGAGGAGGGUUGCAGAGCGGUCAGGAUGUGGUGAAGGGUCGGGCACAGGAUACGCAUAGGAAAGAGCAGUAUAGAAAUGUCGCCAGGUUAAGGAUGGCAGAGGGCCCAGGAAGGCGGUAUGUUUGGAAGGGUCCACGCCAACCCACCAAGGAUGAGGAUGGCGGAGGGGAGGGGAGGGGAUGCAAUCACAGGAUGUUUGGCUUGAGGAUAGGAAAGGGGUUUGUAGGAUGUAUCGAAAACCUAACCGACAGGAUGCGUGCCCCGACAGGGCCCCCAGGAUGCGGGGAUGGGGCGCCGUUCUGCAUCCCUCCGGCUCCAGACAUAGCAAACAUGUUAUUGCAAGGCAUAGUGUGUAGUAGCUGGCCGCUAAAAAUCUCCUCAAGAUGCUGGGAGCACCGUAGUGCGUAUUUGUAGUUGUUCACGGUGCCGUACAUGUACCGGCUACUACUUAGUGCCCCUGGAAAAGCCCCAGAAUUGAUUCAGACGUGAAAAUUUGAAGUAAACUGGAUAUUUUGCCGUAUGUUGUUUACGUACGUGUAUGAUGUGUGGGACAGGGGGGUCAUAUCUUCACCCAUGGCCGCUACCCGGCGAAACCCUGCCUUCCUCCGCAUUUCGGGGCACCCUCAUCCAGUCACCCUAGCCGACUUCUCAGUGGAUCGCUCAGGUUCCGCACCCACCACCGGCAUCCAACGGAAUCUGACGGAUCAACGGCGACUCAACUCCAUUUUUCCUGGUCAGCUUGCAGGUCUACUUUAUCCCAGGUCACCGCCAUCCAUCGACUAGGGACACUCUUACAUACCACCAUCGGAAGGAUUAUCAAUCCUGAAGAUCUAUGCACUGCCACAGAGCAGUGGUGGAGGAACAGUUUUUUGGGCGGGGCCCCAGCGCGAAGCGCCCAGGGGCCCCCCGCCCUGUAGGAUUGCCCAUGUCCGUGUCGCGUGUGGCCGUAACGGACCAAAUAUAUCGGUCGUAAGGGACAUAAUAUCUCGCCCGGCUGAAACGCUUUAUUGGUAAUAUAUUGCAUUCUCUAUUGCAAGGUAUCUCGCCUGUAGCCAACAAAAAUCGUAUGAGCACAAACAAGUUUGGCUGCCUACAUUCACCGAACCCAAAGUCACAUCAACACCUCUCGGGCUAAAUAUCAUCUCAAAGGGUGCCGCAUAUCUCAUAAAUGAGUUCUGAGAUGACGGGGUAUGAUAACUCGAACCCAGCUUGUGUUACUAUUUGCCCGCACGGGCAUUCCGACUUGCCAUCAGCAGGCCGACAAAUUUGCUUUCAUUUCUCUAUGAAGUACGCAAGCUGCCCGUUUGUACAAUUAAUUUGGCCAAUGCUCGGGGUCUCCGAAGAGUUGCAGUGUGCCGCGCGGCUGUGGGGCGGAUUGCUGAAGCCGCUGGUGCUUCGGGAAUAAACAUCACAGACAGCACAUGAACGUGCUGCGGGCUUUGGGGAAGUGUGUCGAGCUAGGCUUUGAGGGGGGCCAAGGGCCCGUGAGCAGGCGCCUGAAUGGGCAGGUCAAUGCCUGAAGGGACGCUGUAGGCAGUGCGUACUGUGCUGUAUGGUGCUGUUUUCCGUGUGUGUUUAGACUGCGGCACCACAGCUGUGUGCCGGUAACGGCACCUCAGACUCAUACGUUUACGCCCAAGCAAGGGGCUGUCGGUGGCAGGUCGCGGACCUCCAGUCUACGUGUAAUGGCCAAUGACUCUUAGCCAUGUCUGCUAGGUUCCAGAGAGACACCGUCUCUUCAACAGGUUAUGAGCCCCAGCUUCCUGCCUCCCACGUUCUGACAAGCUCCCACAGCAUCAGCGCUGCUGCAACAAGCACAGCUCCAACCACGUUGACACUACCCUAGCUACCGCCCUGUACGGAUGCAGAGGGCGCACACCCUUUUCCCGGCUUCGAGGAAGCUGACACCCGACUUGUCCGUAGGUUCUGGACCAGGCUGUUUACCAGAUAACGAUUGGAUAACGAAACCGGGCAGGGACAGGUUUUGCCAGGUAGGGUGAUUGACACCGGUGUGAGUGCAUUGUAGAUCGUGCAGCAUGCUUUCGGUGGAAUGGAGCUUGCUUGGCGUUUCUGGUGAAUGUUGUUGUUGUUACAUGGUCGUGGGUGCGUUCCCCGUACCUGCAAACCACCCUAGUACGAGCCGAGGGCUCAAGGGCUGCCAAAUCGCCUAUAAGCACCAUCCUACCUCGCACUUCCAGCGAAACAAGUGAUGAAGUAUACUAACGACCAAAGGGAACGAUAGAGUUGCGGUGAGACCAUAUACGUUCCAGCAUCCUUGCCAGGCGUUCAGGUUCCCACUUCAUAGCGUCCUUCAUAUGUUCGAAGCGUGGAAAGCCCAUAUCAGAUCUGAUUCCGUCGUAAACCGGACAGUCCAGCAAAAUGUGUUUCUCAUCCUCGAUGUGGCUAUCAGUGCCGCAGCAAGGGCAUACUCGCUCCUCCCUAGGUAUAUAACGCCGUCCCUUACGCGCUCUGUUAGCCGCCAGUGCCCAACAGCAAAGUCUAAACUGCAUAAGCUUGCGAUUCGCCGAACGUGGGAUAAACAUUGUGAUGUGCGGGAGCACCUCCUUCCUGCCCGCUUGCUCGGCCGCCAGCCCCAUCCAAUGCUUAUACUUCGCCAUGUGAAUUCCUGGUUGCUUGCCGUCUGACGGAUACACGUCAGGCUGGUGAAUGUAGAUGGCUAGAGGAUCCGAACAAAUGACAGCGCCUUGUGUUGAGCGGGUUGUGCCCCGGGGCAUCCCUCCAUGAAUGGUUCAUCCUUACUAAUUGACCAAGUCCAACAAACUGACUACCACACUCUACCAGCAUGUAUAGAACUACGUAAACCAGCUACAUUCCUUGACUUUGGCUUCUGCACCUUAGCCACAACUUGCUUAAUACCCUGUCUUAGUAAGGUGAGGGAUGUAUGUGGUGGUGGUUCUGGUGCAUUCACAUUCCUGGGAGCACAUCCAAUUGGGUGGGUCUACAACGAACUCCAGCCAUUUAGUAGCUGUACAUAGUACGGCACACAUAUCGUCUAUAAAUACGCGCUAAUAAGGCACUCCGCCAGCAUCUAUAGAGGCCUUUUCAGCGGCCAGCUACACUCUAUCAUCAGCAGUCGUCCCCCGCCUGUCCUUGCUUGAAUUUGUCGGCUAUUGUCGAUCUGACGACCUGGAGUCUCUAUAUGUGCAAGAUCUCGCUAGCAAACGAUGCAACUGCCGGAAGGAAGGAAUGACGAUAACAGGGUGCGACCGUCGUGUGAAUAUUUUUUUGUAUAUCCUACUACUACUGUAUGUACGACAGCAAUUCAAUUAGCAACAUGUACACAUACAUGUACGUGCAUGUAGGUGAAUCGUCUUCCAAUAGACAUGAUAACUAAUAUUUGUCGUUUUGAAUGUGAAUCGGGUCAUCUUCCUUCUUGUGAACUGUUGAGUAACUCGACACAGGAUUUGGGAUUGUUCACAAGUUCAGUGGACUCCACAGCGGAUUCUGCAGGUCCUGGGGCUGUGAGGGAGAUUGCAACACCCCCAUGCAUCCUGGGCAGGGACUAGCUCAUGAUGAAUCCUGUUAUGUAUGGAAGCCGGGUAUAGGGUCCCCCUCGCCUCCCCCUCCUGUAGUGCUCCCCCUCCGGCUAGAGGGCCUCACCUUUGUCUGGGGGGAGCACUACAGGGCAGUCUCGGAAUGUUUGGAAUCGGUUGGGGUUCCCAACCGGCGACCAAAGGUUGCCUGCCAUUCCGAAUGGGACUGUAUGCUUGAUCGUUCAAGUGUGUGCUGUGAUGGGUGGCUUGUUCGGUUGCCGGUUGAAGACGAGUCGAUCUUGGGCGUCGUACUGCUCAGGGGUGGCAGAGUUCGCUAUAUUUCGUGCAAUUGGAUUGCGUCCUUGACCCGGCUUGCUUUGAUGCCAUGUGUUGUCGCGCUCUGUUCUCAUUUCGUGGUGAGGGGUCGUAGCCCCUUUCUACUACCUUGGGCUCCUUUUCAUCUUAUAUGUAGCUAACACUUCCUGGCUGUCUGUCAUUCGUCAGUCCGAACAACCGCAGCCUGUUUGGAAACGCUAGAUUACUCACCGAGAAUGAAAGCAAUCUUGUCAAUGGUCGUUGAGGUGCACGAGCUGCCCGGUACCGGGGAGCUGCUGAGGGCCGCUGUAAAACAGUAGGUGGCUGUGAAGUCCGUGACAUUGAAGGGGCCCGAAAGGGACGACAUGCGGUACGGUGAAGUGGCAGUACUCCCCUUGCAAUCCAGGAAGGGGAAGUCGUUGGCCAAGAUGGAAUUCCCUCCUGGGGAUGGAGGUGGUGGGCUGACGGGUUUGGGAGCCUUGGGUGUCCUGGGGGACUUGGGGGACUCGGGGGACUUGGGGGGAGUUUGUUGGGGUGGAGGUGGCAGGGUCGCUGGAGACUGAGAUGGCGGGGGAGGUGAAGGAGAUGAAGGGGACGGAGCUGGGGAUGGUGGUCCUGAUGCAGUGGGUAAUGGCGGGCUUGGGGGUUUUGAUACAGGAGGCUCUGGCACUGGCACUGGCACCGGUGGUGGGGGUGGUAACAUUGAUGGCAUGGGUGACGGAAGCUGGAAAGGGGAAGGAGGUGGAGGGCUGGAUGGGAGCUGGGAUGCAGGUGGCGGUGAAGAAGGCAUAUUUGUAGGGGGAAGGAAUGAGGAUGGUGCUGGAGAAGGGGGAAGUGGUGACGACAGUGGUGAUGGUGGUGGUGGUGGAGGUGGGGGCAUUGGUCGUGGUGGGGAGGGAGGGCUGGGUGGUGGUGUUGGGGAGGGCGGGCUGGGUGGUGUUGGGGAGGGAGGGCUGGGUGGCGGUGGGGAGGGAGGGCUGGGUGGUGGUGGUGGGGAGGGAGGGGAAGGUGGUGGUGGAGAGGGCGGGCUGGGUGGUGGUGGGGAGGGCGGGCUGGGUGGUGGUGGAGAGGGUGGUGGGAGGGAAGGAGGGCUGGGUGGCUGUGGUGGAGAGGGUGGACUGGGUGGUGAUGGGGAGGGCGGGCUGGGUGAAGGCGGGGAUGGUGGUGGGGGUGGUGAAGGGCAGGGGCAAAAGUAAAACUCCAGCGGGACGUAGCCCCAGCUGGUCGGCGAGUUGGGGCAGACAGAGUCGCUCGGGUCACCCGCCGUCACCCACUUGCCACUCAACCAUAUUUCUGGCGUUCCAUCUAUUGGGGCAAAGCUGGCAUUCGCUGUCCGCAACAGACCAAAUAAGUAGAAGGGGUACAGCGCACAAUAUUGAAAGUCUGAGAUGUCACCACCACUCUGUGCUGCACGGAGCAGGGCAGAAUAGAUUGCGAAGCCAAGUCUGAUACCAGGAGAAAGAGGAUAUGAAAUUGAGAAAGUUGGAUUAUUCAUCUCAUCCAUACUCAAUGGACUGCAGCCUGGUGUGCCAUUGAAGCGCCUCUGAAACUCUAAAUUCGGGAGUGCACGAAAAUAGGAGACCACGUUAGAGCUGUCAGUGUUAUUGAAAUAGAGAUCUGCCAAUUGACCAGAGUACCAGGAACCCCCAUCAACAGCAUAAUCCAUCAUUGAUAUCACCGACUGAUUGAUGCGUAUACUGCCAGUAUCAGACGCACGGAAAGGCACAGGUACAUCGGCAGCACUGGUGAUUUCCGCACCCUGGUAAAGGAUGCGAAGGAUACUAUUGCUGCAGGGCAAGGUGACCGGUGGCGGUGGUGGUGGUGUGUCUGCAACCGCCGCAAUACCAACAGUGGUGGUGAGCAGCAACAGCCAUAGGAAGGCGGUAUUCUGCCCAAUGCCAUUACUCCACCGCAGGCUGCGUACUGAGGGUGAAGAUGAGGGGAUAGUGAUGGCUCCUGGGGAGUCCUUGGGCCCAUUAGGCUGUUGUGACAGACGAUCAGAGCCGGGUUCACUUGCGGAAAUGGAACCUGUGUUCGGAUGGCGUCUGGAGCUGGCGACUGUAGCAGAAGCAGGAACCCCUGCCAUGCUGUUGCAGUGCUUCCCUUCCUUGCUGCUAUAGAUGGCACAGCCACACGCACGUACGUGAUGAGCAAGUGCAAGAAGCAAGCCCUGCAUUCCAUUCAUCAAUCGGCAACCACAGCAUGUACUUAGUUUGUGUUCCAUGGUUACAAUGACGGUCAAUGAGGUCAUUUAGCACAGUCAUCCAGCUUUGCAUGCCGCCUAUCCAUGAAACGCAUGAACUCAUCAUGUUUCGCUGCACCAUCCCAGUACAGGCUGCUGCAGCCAUCCUAACAUGAUGGACAACGAACAUCUGUAAGACGUCUGAUGGCCGAUAAAUAAACAAUGUAACAAUGUAAAAACAACAACAAGCAACAACAUUGCAACAACAUAGCCGUGAGUCCUUUCUCAGGACGAGCCGCCUACAGUAAAACGCCCCAUCAACCCAAACAACAAUAUCGAAGCCGCACUCUCAGCAGGUGUGAGAAAAUAGCUAGUGCGGCGCAGCAGCAGGCGCAUACGCUGCUGUGGUGGCUACGUGGGUGAGGUGGAUGCAUAUGAAGGGGCAGGAACUGCAAAUAAUAAAGCAUGACGUGAAUUACACCAACGGCAAGCAUGCGCUUGCUAGGUAGCUAGCAGAGCAGCUGCUGCAGUUUCACUCACCGAAAGCCGGACCAGGCCGAACCUCGAUGUCUGCAAGGCGGAGUGUCUAUAGACAAUAAACGAAUCCACCGAUCGGUAAUUUUCUGUUGUCGUGACACAACAGAUGCCAGCUUCAUGCCUUGAAACUGUUACUUAAAAAGCAGUACAAGCACGUAGUUUAUGGGGAAGUCGAAAGUCGGCGCAAACCGCUGGGGGGCGUACGUACAGUAGCAGCUCCAUAUAUAUAUAUAUAUAGAGGAUAUAUAGAGGAUAUAUAGAGGAUAUAUAGAGGAUAUAUAGAGGAUAUAUAUAUAUAUAUAUAUAUAUAUAUAUAUAUAUAUAUAUAUAUAUAUAUAUAGAGGAUAUAUAUAUAUAUAGAGGAUAUAUAUAUAUAGAGGAUAUAUAUAUAUAUAUAGAGGAUAUAUAUAUAUAUAUAUAUAUAUAUAUAGAGGAUAUAUAUAUAUAUAUAUAUAUAUAUAUAUAUCCUCUAUCCUCUCAUAUAUAUAUAUAUAUAUAUAUAUAUAUAUAUAUGAGAGGAUAGAUCGUUAUCUUUUCGGUAAGAACUUCCAAAGCUAUCGGUCGACUGUUGGGUUUCACCACAGCAGUGGCCGCCAUACGGGGCGUUUCACUUCGGAAAAAGCCUUAAAUAAACCACACGCUACGCGUUUUUCGGCUUGCCCAAAUGAGGAAUUGUCUUAGACUGUAGUGGGUGCGCUCGAGGGUGCUGCAGUGCUCGUCCUGUAGUGCGGUACGGCAAGUGCGGCGCAGGAAGUCGGAAUCUCGGAAUUCGACCUCAUGAAUUCCCAAGCAAUUCCGGGUCAAAUCCCAUCGGGAUUUGAGGAUUUGACCCCCAAAACAAUAGGCAAUAUAAUGGUCAUGCAAAGAAUUCUUCGGGCUUGGCAUUUGAGGAUUAACUCCUUACACUUCUCUACCUGCAGUAUUCGAGUACAAGGUUCUAUGUUCGUUGCGACGUUUUGACCUAUGUUCUAUGCUUGCUGCUUCACGUUGUCAUGUAUUCUGGGAUGCGUUGGGAAGAUCCUGAGCUUUGUUGUCGGAAAUGACAAAUACGGCAAACGUGCUCUUCACUCUCAUGUCUUCCCUUUCCUCUCCCUCCCCAUUCUUCUCUCCCUCCUCUCCCUCCUCUCCCCUUCCUCUCCCUCCUCUCCCUCCGCUCCCUGAACGCGUCUCCUGUCCUCUUCCUAUACUCUCUCCUCCUCUCCCUCCUCUCCCUCCUCUCCCUCCUCUUCCUCGCCUUACUGUGAAUACUUUGCUCAUUAAUUUUGCAGUCCGGUUUUAAUGCGCAACUCCGUACACAUCUCUUCCUGCAGUUCUCGAACACAACGUUCAUUAAUUAUUUUUUCUUUUUGCUUGACGCUUCAUUUUUUUCCGGGUGUCACAUCCCAUAUGUAAUGUAAUGUAAUAUGCCUGCGUCAUGAGAACUUUUGUAACCGCCUUAUGCUCGGCCAUUUCUUUACACUGCACAUCUUUCGGACUUUUGCGCUUCUCAUUUACGCCGUUCCAAGGCUCCGAACGCAGCGCCUUGUUUUACGGCGUUCCUUCCGGAUUGCGCAAAGAGUAAUUGUGUCUCAGUCCGAGCAUGCUCGUCCAUCUCAUCCAACAUAUGAUGCAUCUAGGUUCUUGCCCACCUCACCAACCUAUUACACACUUCUGGUCUGGUGACACCACUGCAAUUAGCAAUUGAAGGUCCUAACCUGUGCAGACCCCCGACAGUGACCCGGAGUAUUAGGUUUACAGGUGGCUUCAGAGGUGUGGAGGUGAAGUCUAAUUGAUGAACUACGUUUCGCAUACUGAGUUGGUGGCGAUGGCAGCCCUUUCUCUACGGAUGUCGGGUGAAUGAAUGAUGAGUGGUCUAGUUGGCAGGACCAGAGGGUUGCAGAGAUGGGGGAUUGGGGGCAGGUACUGGUCAGGCGGGAUGGGGAAUAGGGUUGACGACGUCAGGAUGGGAUGUGGGGCCCAGGGCGAGGAUUAGGGAUUAGGCGUGCUACACUACUUUUGGGAUGGGGAUUGCUGUCGGGGGUGAGGAUGGGGAUGGGAUCCCUGUCUGAGGGAUGGGGAUUGCAACCUUGACCAAGGAGGGGAUUGGGAGCCCUGGCCAGGGAUGGGGAUGGGACCCUGGUCGACAGGACGGGGAUUGCAGGCUUUCGCAAGUUUAGGAUGAGCUCGCUGCCAUAGGAUUGGGAACACAGUUGGAGGAUUAGAAUUGGGUGUUCUGCUGUAAAAUGAGGCUGCAGGUGCAGAAUUGGGAAUACUGACAGGACUGCAAAACAGGCCAAGGAUGAAUGGUUUAGUUGUCCAUAGUUGCUUACAUGGAAACUCAAACAAACACAAAGAAGUUCUGCUCGCAAGUCGCGUCCCAUAGCAAACCAAACUCAAACACAAGGAAGUUCUGCUUAUAAGUCGCGUCCCAUAGCAAACCAAACUCAAACACAAGGAAGUUCUGCUUGCAAGUCGCGUCCCAUAGCAAACCAAACUCAAACACAAGGAAGUCCUGCUUAUAAGUCGCGUCCCAUAGCAAACCAAACUCAAACACAAGGAAGUUCUGCUUGCAAGUCGCGUCCCAUAGCCAACCAAACUCAAACACAAGGAAGUCCUGCUUAUAAGUCGCGUCCCAUAGCCAACCAAACUCAAACACACGGCCUUGGCCAUCUCUUCAUUAGUCCUGCGCUUUUUCUCCAGCCGUGGUGACGCAUCCUCGCCCAACUCGUCAGCGGGCUGCGCAGUCGGGGCACAUGCUGCUUUUGCAAGCUUGAGGGCUUGGAGAGCUUUAAGGUUCGGGGCGAGGGCCCUCAGCGACUUGAUUGCCACCUCGGAAUCCGCAUCCGCCAGCCGUGCGUUGACUUCGACCUCUGUGCCAGCAAGGAAGACAGAAAGCAGGCGGUGACAAAACAGCAAGUUUGCACCUUUCGUUCAAAACAAAACCGAAUGGAGUUGGCGUCACAGGCAGCGGCUCACAAAGUCGGUUACAUGCCAGGGUCCCAAACUUCCAUUGGUAUGGGCGUAGGCAUCGACCUAAAACAAGACCCAUUGCAAAGAGCGCAAGCGUCGGAUAAAAUAUAUCCUGUAGUGGUUGGUCAGUCCUGGUCAGUCCUGUCCAGUCCUGUUCAGCAAGCGGUGAAACCAAAUUAGGCUGAAGUGGUUCUUACCGCCAGCCACGGUCUUCACUGACGCCAAGUCCACCAAGCCUUCUUCAGACAAUGUUUUGGCGAUGGCGGCAUCGGCCGACUGCCCGAUGGGGUCCAUCCCAAGCGUUUCCACGAUGACUUCGGCCAUGUCCCUGGCGAAGCCCAACCCCGUCAAUUUUGCCAGCUUUUGACGCUUCUGCAGAAGGUUAACACCAUUGGGAAUAGAACAGGCAUGGAACGCGACUUGGUGUAAAUGUGAGAAAAGUGCACCAUUGGUGCACCCUGCCAGUUCUUCAGUCAGACGCAGUCCAACCCCGUUCUUACCUUGUCCGGCCCAUGCACAUCCACAUCCAGGGCACCAUCGGGUGCCAUUCUGGAAGAGAUAACAAACGGUCGUCGGGCUGUUACUAGCUUGCGCAUAACAAGGUGGGCGUCUUCCAAGACGAAGUUUGGGACACUUUGAAUAAGACCCGAACGAAAUCUGUAUGCAAUCUGCAGACCCUACUGGGGGACAAGUCCGCAGGAGGCGUAUCAACAUGCAAGACGUUAUCAACAGCAAGCCGGUUUGGGGGUCCAAGUACAGCCUGUCACGCUGACUAGUUGGACAAGGCUGUAUGCUCUUCUGCGUGAAGGCAGAAUGAUUUCACCAGGAGAGCAGCAAGAAUGAAGUCGCCACUGCGACCCAGUUGUACGACAGCACCACAGAACCAGCCUUAGAAGCUCUGUGUCGCUUCGCUCCCGUCGCAUCUANNNNNNNNNNNNNNNNNNNNNNNNNNNNNNNNNNNNNNNNNNNNNNNNNNNNNNNNNNNNNNNNNNNNNNNNNNNNNNNNNNNNNNNNNNNNNNNNNNNNNNNNNNNNNNNNNNNNNNNNNNNNNNNNNNNNNNNNNNNNNNNNNNNNNNNNNNNNNNNNNNNNNNNNNNNNNNNNNNNNNNNNNNNNNNNNNNNNNNNNGUUUAUCGUAGCGCUUUGGCGCACCCAACGUGGAGUGUUGGCGCCGGAAUGUGCAGCUGAACUCCUGCGCUAUGAACCUGAACCAAUGGUGCACGUUCCCAGCCAUGGACAUUUUGACAGAACACCCUUGUACGUUCUGCCAUUCUAACCACAGCAUUAUAAUUUGUUGCUGUGGCCGUCCUUCGAACAUAACAGUCCUUCCCCCCUUAGGACGCGCGAUUUGCAAUAGCAGCCAGUGUGCAAUUAGAUAUGUAGACCUCUGUGAUGCGAGUUCUUCCUCAGUCGAGAUCCGCUUCAACGAGCGUUUGUCGCUUCAGUCUGCUUCGGAACGAACACAGCCGGGCGGAAUUUGACGCUAGAGGAAAUAAGCCAUAGAGCAAGAGAAAAAUAUCUCGCGGAAAUAGAAAAUAACCCUGGUCAUUCCCCUGAUUUACGCCUAAAGAGAAAGCCGAUAUUACAGCACCUGUGUAAACGUAAGGAGUAGGUUUGUAGCUGGCAAGGGAUGGGGAUGGGACCCUGGCUGACAGCUUUCGGAUCUGAACACAGCUGCAGGAUGGGGAUGGCCCUGGUCGAAGGGAUUGGGAAGGGACCCUGGCUGGCAGGAUGAGGAUUGGGGGAACACAGCUGCAGGAUGGGAUUGGAAACCCUGGCCAUAGGAUUGGGGAUGGGACCCAGGCUGGCAGGAUGGGAAACCUGUCUCAAGGGAUGGGAUUAGCACCGGGCCCCUAAGAUGGGAGAUGGGAGUCGGUCACCCCAGCCAGGAUGGGGGGAUGGCUGACCACUACCACCCCCCGGGAUUGGGGGAUUAGACCGUUUUUGCAACCCUCUGGCAGGACCCCAAAACAGUUGUAUGGCGAAAUCAACUUUCUCUAGUCCAUGGCCUCCCGGCUUUGACGGACACCCCCGCACUCGUGCGGAACUUGCAACUUGUAACUUUAAUAUAUUUGAUAGGCUAUCAACCAGCGUUAUUUUUUUGCGGAACGCUAUCUUCGUCCACAAACAUAUCUGAGUUCCGGCCCUUGAUUUAUCGAUAGAGAAUUAGAAUAGCUUUCAGACGCAAUUUAAAGCGCGGUGAAAUAAGAUGAAAUGUUACACUAUAACUGACUGACGGACGGACUGACGGACGGACUGACGGACGGACUGACGGACGGACUGACGGACGGACUGACGGACGGACUGACGGACGGACUGACGGCAGUGAACCUAGGGGCUCGGGCCCCCGAAUGGCGCUUCGCGCCCGGGGCCUCGCCCAAAAACACUGCUAUCAACAAGCAUAGGUAGUGGAUAAUAAACCUUCCGCCGCUAAGCAGGUUGGUCCGCUUGCAAAGGGAAACCCAAGGCAUUGGCCUCGUUUUUCCAAGCUCGCGUAUGUAGGAAGUCGCCAUAGUACUGGCACCUCGAAAAAACCUAUCUUUGCUACUACAGGCCUCACUCCCGGUCGACCCGUGCAGCCUGGUCCCACCCGACGAAUACACUGCUGCCUCCAUGCGCCGCUUGCACUCGCGCGUUGUUCCUCCGAAGACGAGUACUUCGCACUUUGCGAUAUUUGCCGCCAUGCCAGUCGCCUUGCAGACGCGGAACCAUGCGGUGCGGCAUCUGUGCUGGGGUCGAGGGCCUAAUUAAGCUCCGACCGCCAACUGCGUAACAUGACUGACAAUGGAAGACGACGGAAAGAAGAACGCAUACAUUGAUAGAACUUCAACAAGUUUUUGGGUGUUGAAAUCUGCAGGAAAUGCGACCGCCCGACUGCGCGAGCCGGCGACCCACUUGCCGGCCCUCUCAGCAGCCAAACUUGCCAAGUCUUUUUCUUUUAUUUGAUAUGAUUUCGUUCAUCCAUUUUAUUAUUUUCUUCCAUCUUCAGUCCUGUUCCGCAGGGCCAAGGACGCCAGCGCAAGCAAACCGCGCUUCGCACAUACGAGUAAGCGCGGCGCUCCGGGCUUUCGCAAGCCGCCCUUUCCACGGCCAUCACUAAUGCAUUUUGAAUCACGUUUAUGCGAGGGGCUGCUUAAAAAUGCCUUCAAAAAUUGCUGUGCAGUACAGCAAUUUCUGAUUGUAUUUCAUGGGGAGGUCGAAAGUCGGCUGAAACCGCUAGCGGGCGUACGUAAGGUAGAGCUACAAGUUGACGAAUUGUUUCUCAGCUCCAGAAAGUUAUGCGGUUCAUAUAACCUGGGACGCUGGGACCGUCCAUGGCGGACGCUCCGCCGGACGGACGAGCGUCCGGCACAGCUUGCCUCGCGCACAUACCCACGCAUGCCAACAUAGUCAUAAUCGAAACAAAAUACAUUUCAUUGUAGUGAAUCCUGGUGCUCGCGGCGCGCGCAGGCGUGGAGCGCGCGCAGAUAUUCCUUGCGCAAACCGGCAGCGCGGCAUGCAAUCUGCGUCCAGAUGAGCCCAUUUCCCUAGAAAUUUGCUGGGCAUGUUGUAAAUUGAAAAUAUAUUACCUUUUCAUAGAAAAUGUAAUGCUACGCACAAUACUGGGGGCUACGCCGAUGCAAGCGGUUGGCACCAGUGAAUGCCUGAAAUGUAAACAAAGCUAAAACUAGCAGUCAGGUAUGUCAAUUAAAUUAUAGGAAACAUAUUCAUGUGGCGGUUUGGGGCCUGAGGUACGUCCAUGGCAACAGCGGCUCGCGACUUGGACAACACAGCCAUGGGCGAUUUAGACCCAUGGCUGUGCGUUCCAAGUCGGGCAGUGCAGCGGGGCCAUUUGCAGAGGCUUUGGUAGGAGCAGCGCCUUUCACAGUACCGUUUGCAACACCAUUGGCUCGCGGCGUAGCCAUUGGGAGGGCCAUUGGGAGGGCCAUCCCAGGUAUCUAUCUGUCCACACCUCUGCCUCUCGCCAUGCCCUGAUCCUCCGCAUCCACAUCCCAGGAGGUGCACGCGGUCUGAGCCCGCACCACAACAAGGAAGUUCCAGGAAGUGUGUACGUCCUAACCCUGCACAGCGUGGGCGUGGCAGAGGGCAGUGGCGCAGGUCUACACGCAAGAAUGGGGCAUCCAGCCCGGAUGCCAUCAUCGCUACUGCUGACUUCAGUGAUGGCGACGGUGGUGGUGAUGGCGGUGGUGACGGUGGUGCUGAUGUAGCAGUGAUGGCAGUGGUGCAAGCAGUGCUGAUGAUGACGAUGAUGAUGAUGAUGAUGACACGAGAUAUCUUCUCAUCACCUAAAAUGGCGCAGGGCAUCCAUUUCUGGUGCUGCUGCAGGUCUUAGUGCUGAAAACGGUAGUGAAGGCGUGGUGCAGGGGGGCCAGGUACUUGUUAUCCAGGAAAAAAAAUCGCUGCAUGAUGAGGCAGCUCAGGCUGGGGUUACCCUGGAGCAGCAGGUUGCGGCAGCCCAUCCGGAGCUGGGGAAAAAGGGGUAGCCAACCACGUGGUAAAGCUCAUCAGGCAGCAGUGGGCACAGCUUUCACCACCUGUGAAGGCUGAGUGGAUGCAGCGGCCGCAGAGGGGGAGGUGCUGGCUGGCGGCGUGGUAAUCUUGCUGGCGAGCUGUGCAGCAGCUGGCGCAGCCGGCAGCAGGUUGUGGAGCAGGUGAAGGCGCCUUGACGCUGGCUGCCGGCGGUGGAUACCGAUAGGGGCAUUGGGAGCAUUAAGUCUGCAUUUCUGUGACAUUCUGUGACGGCCUCCGCUGUCCAUGGAUCCAGACCACUAUUUAUUCGCUGUGUAUGACUUGUUUCGACCUUUUCUUUACACAUGACCCUUUGGCUUUUGUUCUUUGUAUAGUAUGUGGAGUGUGGUGCAGAAAAAUUACCUCAGUGCAUCGUUGUUCUGGUUGUUUAAGAAGGGCACCGUCGCCCUGGGCUGUAUAAGCAGGCACCUGGAGCACUGUGUCUGUGACAUCUCGCUUCAUAAGGAACAUUAGGAGUUCAACGGAGUCUCGCCUUGUAACUGAAUAGGUGUCCCAUCUACAACCCGUCGUCAUUACAAUAGUCAGCCUAUCUUCCUUCCAGGACACAAAUAUCAACAUCAACACGGAGGGUAUCACCCAGGGUUCGUCAUCUGUCAUCUGGGGGUGGGUGUUAUGACUUGCUUGUGUAUCACCCUACCCUUAAACGAGAGCACUCAUUUAACAAAACCGUAAAGAGUUGUGAAGUGACCUACUUGAUGUGCGUGAGAUGCAACAUGCAUCCCCACUGACCCAAAGGCGCUUCCUACCGGAGUCACUGGAGUUACGGCACAUUAUUGGAAGAGUGGCAGGAUCCUCAUAGCAAAGGAACAUGACCGACGUGAUUCAUGCACACCAAGGCUGUCUUUCCUCAGCUUUUCCAACGGGUGCCCAUGCAUCUCAGGUGAGGCUGCUGGGAACUCAAACUUAACAGGCCUAAUGGCCGUGAGCACGCUGCGUGUACCUGCAGGCUUUGCGACUGCGGAAGGAGUAAAAAUGAGCUGCCAUGUCUCUUGUGAGUGGCCACCUCCUGGUGAGUUACUGGUGCAGCGCGAAAAAGACCUUGGCUUGGGAGGGCGCACUCUGCACAAGAUUAAUGCCGAGGGCCCCUUACUUGGCUAGUUCCCUUUGGGGUUUAGGAGGCCAGCAAGCAGGCAUCGAGCCCAGGAGAGCGGGGGAGGACUGCAACGCUCGGCGUCGUUAUCACAGCAACAGGAUCUAUCAAUGAAGAUGCAUGAUUUCAAGUCAUGUCAUGGUUAAUACAGGUUAAGAGUUUUCAGGCAAUCAUCGCGGUUCCCCAACCUCGGUGCGGGAGCGGAUCCCUUUCGUCAAUCUCAGCAACCGUGUGCCUGCCAACAGUUACCUCGACGUCUACAAUCCGUAGCAACCAAGCUGCUUUACACUACCAUUGGCCUACAACGGGAAAAAGAUUAUUACGGGUACCGUCCAAGGUCUGAUCCCGCGUUGCUCGUCCAACAACCAUUUGGAAUGAUUCUCGGAAUGUUGCCAGAAUUCCGUUACCAGAGUUCUUCACCUGCAAGCGGCAACAUGGGUUAUUCUGUUUCCGGCAACCCAUGUACGCUGGUCUUGAGCUCCGUGCGCCAACAACAUUUUGCUAGGCUAAGCAAGUCCAAGGACGGUGCAUUCCCUCUUCAACUUGUGCAAAGGUACCUAUAUUCGUCAUCACUUAUUCGCAUUCGUUAACGCGCGGUCACUGCGUACUAUGUUCUUUUGAACCUGAACCUUAUCCGUUCGUUAACAUAACAAAAGCCGUUGUUAAUCUGUCGCAGCUUCAGACCCCGGGCCGGUAUAAGGCAAUGCCCUACAACGAACGCUCUGCAGCCAUCCCGCACAGGUGCGCUUGUGCAGCUGACACUCCUUCGGUGCAGUCGCAACGACCUCCUGGCAUGGGUGCUUGUCAUGGCAUACCCUUGGCUCUGUGCCAUGCGAUAAUAUAGUGCAACAACAACAUAACUUCUUGCAUUAAAGACACAUACAGUAUCACAUCUUGUGUUAACUGAAAAAGUGCCUCCAAUUGCAGCUAUUGGUAAGGGCUGUGAACCAACGUUCAUAAGGUUCCCUCAUUCUGCCCUUUCUAACAAUCCAGCUUAACACCAGGCACACCAACAUUCUGUCCCAGUUCCGCUCCUGCAUCCCCGGGUCAACCCGUAGUCGCACAUGAACCUCCCCCUCCCAUCCCCAACCCUCCCCUACCAACCCCACGCCAACCAACCCUACAGGGCAACGCAAUCGCUACGACCAACUGCCGUUGCACCCACCAUCAGCCAGUCGCCUCCGCAGCAGCUAUGGGCGCGGAGGUCGGGGGCCCCGUCUGGCGGCACCCUCUGAAGAGCUCCAGGGGCGGGGGUCGGUAUUGGCGGCAGCGGCGGCGGCGGCAGCAGCACUGUCAGCUGGAGGCGGGUUCAGUGGGAAGGGCCGGGGGCCUGGAGGUGGCAAGGAUGGUGGAGGGGUGGAGGUGCUGUCCGAGACAAGGUGGGUGAAGGUGCGGGUGAUGGCGGUGGGGAUGGGGGUGGAGAGGCGGCCGGGGGUGGGUGGGCGAGGUUGUUGCAAAAGGGUUGGCGUGCGGUGAACUGGGGGUGUGUGGCGUCCUUAUACGUGUACAUAUAUACGUACAUACAUAUGUACAUACAUACGUACAUACAUCCGCACGUACAUACAUACGUACGUACAUACGCAAACAGACGUGCACACAUACUCACUGGCCGCCCGCCUGUCCUGUCGUUUUUCCGUACGGACCUGCCCCAAGCUUGGUGAUGCUUCCAUGCCGUACUGCGAUACCGUAUCAUCACACGUCAAGACCCGUCACCGUUCCAUUGGGCGGUACAAUUGCCUAUCAUACUUGUCGUACUCUAGAAAUAAGCUUUGCAUGUGGGUCUGAUGUUGUGCUUCCAUCGUUAUGCACAGAUUCGAGGAUGUACGACUGCAUGCGAGGGUGGAGCGGCAGGGUGGGGAAUACAAGGUACGGGGGCAGGGGAGAUGGAGGGGUGCGAUGGAUGGCAACAAAUACACAGGUGCGCACAGAGAAGAAGGGUUAGGAGUUCGCAUACAUACAUACGCACAUGACACGAUACGACAGACCCGCCCAGGCACGGCAUUCUGUGCCCUCUUGGGGAAGGGCACAGCUCCGUUGGCACAUACACACAGAGACACGCGCGCCACGUGCACAUCUGCCUGCAGCUUUGAUUUUAUUUUCUCUUCGCGCAGUCCGGUCUCCUUUCCAGGACACACCUACCCCACACACUGCUACUGUGUUUUCAUUUUCCCCCUCCUUCUCCCCCUUCCUCUCCUUCCAUUCGGAUGUCGGCGGUCUAUCCUUUACUUAUUUGCUUAUUAAUGUAUUAAUAAAUCCCUCUCCUCCCGCCCUGGGUCCCUCCAUCCAUCCCUUUCCCGCUCACCUUCACUCUCCCGCCACCACCCCCUUCGCAGGUCGUCCUGCAGCUGCCCUCCCCCGCCUCCCCCCUCUCACCCCCCUGGGUUCUCCAUUGGGCGCUGGACGAGUGGUCCCCACCCCCCCUGGACUGCUGGCCCCCGGGGACCGCGCGUGCGGAGGGGGAAGGGGGGCGGGAUGACGGACCGUGUCAAACACACUUCCCGCCGGAUGGGCGACUGGAGAUCAGCUUUGCACCGGUAUGAGGAUGCUGUUGUAUGUGCGUAUGUAUGUAUGUAUGUAUGUCUACGUGUAAGUUGCGCGAAUGUGAAGUAGGGUAUAUGUCUGUAGUGCGCGUAUGUAUGUGUUUGUGCAAGGGGGGGAGAGAGGCGACUCGGGGGCUGUUUAAGGGGGCUGGAUGAACUGGACAGGACAGGACGGGGGGAAUGGGGGUGGGGGAGUUUGGGGGUCAUAAGGGAGGCUUGGAGUGACGACCGUUGCCGAUGUAUGUAUGUACGUACGUGUGUGUGUGUGUGUUUUGGCCGCUUAUGUUAGGGCCAAUGUCCGUGCCAUGAGGCUGUUUAAAACCCUUCAACUCCCGGCCCUCACCACGCACCGGAAAGAGGUUUUCUCAUCCUCUGUUUUCCCGGCCCCCCGCGACACACACAUACAUACACACACACUCACACGCACACGCACACAGGGCACCUGCCCUUCUCGAGUCGUGUUUGUGUUGAAGCAGCCGGCGGCGGAGGGCAGCGCUGAUGGCAGUGGCGAGGUAUGGUACAACAACGGCGGAUCCAACUAUGUCGUACAGUUGCGGGCGCCUCCGGUCGAGACGUUCAUUGAGAAGGCAAGGCGGGUGGGGGUUGGAGGUGUGUGUGUGUGUGUGUGUGUGUGUGUGUGUGGGAUGGGGGGAUGUCUGAGGUGUUGUGGGUGUGAGGUUGUGUCUUUGAACCAGGUGGUUGCGGAUGCAUUGGGUUCCGUUGGAGUUUCGGUUGCAAGUGGUUGCGGAUGUUGAUGACGGGGGUUAUGGGCGUGCGGGUAGCUGGGACCUGCUGGUUGGGGUUUGGGGGGAAGGACGGAGGGGGUCUAGAGCUCCGUUCUCCGAACAUGCAUGAAUGACCGACCGCGCUGUUGUUUGUUGCACUUCCGAGAAGACGUUACAGCAAAGGCUAGAGACCGGAGGAGAGAAAGGCGAAUAUGAAGACACGUACCCCCGUAGGAAAGUCUAAGCAAGACAGCAGGACACCGCCACGUUGUUCAGCAGUCCAGAUGGUCUUUUCAUAUAACUACCUUACCAUAUAACUUCCUAAUCUACAUCGCCCCCUCUGUAUCGUGUCUCUCUGCUAGCGCAGCGUGACCGCCUGUUCCCCGCACAACCCGGACCACACCGGGCACCCCGGCUUUUACGGACACACCCGCACUUGUGUGCAGAACUUGUAACUUGUAACACACGUACACACACGCGCUUUCCCCCCCUCCCCCUCCCCCGCUCCCUGGUUUCAGGUUCUUGCUGCCGAGGGCAGCUACACGCACUGGUCAUUGGCUCAGAGGAUGAUGCUGACCGGCGAGGUGCUGGACGCGGCGGAUGCAGCGGGUGCGGUGUGUAUGUGUGUAUAUAUGUGUGUGUAUCUGUGUGUGUGCGAGAGGGUUGUGGUUAUGGGGGGAAGGACGGGGGUCGGGAUGGGACGGGAAGACAAGUUCGAUCUGCGGCUUUGAGAGGAGGGGGUCGAGGAAGGGGACUGGUCUGAUUCUUGUACAUCGGGUACUCUCCCCCGUCCUUCCCUUUGCAGACCGACAGACAGAGAGACACAGGUCCGCAUAAACCCACACAGAGCCAUGCACGCACACAUACAUACACAUAUUCAUGUGUGGCCGAAACGCGGCGCACGCACAUAUACACAUACAUACAUACGUACGUACGUACGUACAUAUUGCUGCGUUGUGUGUUGGCAGUCUGAGUCCGGGUGGGGAGCACACAAGACUAACCGACUUGUGCUGUGUGCUCCCGACCCUUGCGCUGUGUUUCGGCUUCGGCCCCCGGCUUUUGCAGCCCACAGUGUAAUAUAAGUUAUACAUAUAUACAUACAUUCAACCACCAGAGACGCCUCACAUGUCGGCCCCACCCCCUUCGAUAGGUCCGGAGGGAAUGGCGUUCAUCUUCACAUGGCUACGUCUAAGCAGUACACGUGUACUGGAUUGGUACCGCAACGCCAACUUCCAACCGCGUGACGUGGCUGCCGUACAGCAGCAUGUCGGGGAGCGCAUGGCGGAAAAAGUAUGUAUGGCAGUGUACGAUAGCUUGUACAGCGCAUGUACGGCCAAUAUUACGUACGGGACAUGACAGGGUUACAGAGGGUGUUUACAAACAGCGGUGGAUUAACCCGCUCUCCCCAGUCCCCCCCCCUUCUUGCCCUGGCAGCUGCUUCACUCGUUUGUGGUUCGUCUUCCCCCCCCCCCCCGCAACCCAACUAGGACACCAGGCAGCAUGCAGCUGCUGGCCGCCGAUAUGAAAAGGCCUCGCCGGCUGCUGGAAGUGCGCUUUAUCAACCAACUUUUACUUUAACGUGUGCCGUACUGUACGACAGGUACUGCAGCCCGCUCCGCUAACUCACCUUCCGAUGCUCACCGACCCCCCCACCCACCCACCACCACCACUACUACAGCCAUCACCACGUCCCCCCGGGGAGCGAGCACUGCCGGAUAGCUCCCACCCGGGUUUCCUUUCGGCGGCUCCCCUCCCCUCCCCUCCCCGCGGGAAAUCCAUUAGUCCUAAAGCUUCAUACAUACAUACUUCGAUACAUACAUACAUGCACACACCCUUUUCCUCCUGCUGCCCGUACCAGGCCCGUUCCUCCUCCCACCCCCUCAACCGCCUGCUGGCCCGGGGGGCCCUAGCCGGUCUGCCUCGGGGCGGGGGCAAUGGGGACGACAUACGUAUGGGCAUACUGCACAUCAUGAGGGGCUACGGUAUACGGGAGGGGCACAGACCGGUGAGUGAUUGUGUGUGUGGGGGGGGGAGGUGAGGAUUUGGUUUUAGGAAAAACCCUGUUGGUGGCGGUGGUGAUGUGUGUGUGCGUAUGUAAGUGUGUAUGUAUGUAUGUGUGGAUUUCCGGUGGUUUAGUUGGAGGGGACGAUGAGUGGUGGUGGAAAUGUGCGCGGGAGACCCUGCUCGCUCCAGGGAUGGCGGGCAGCAAGGGGGACGCCAUGUGUUGGUCUGUGGGGCCCGGAUAUGGGGCGCGAGUGCUCCCACUCACUUGGCUUUGGUGGUUCGUCUUACCCCGGCCUCACCGCCGUCUGCAGCCCUUUAUUGGGGGGGGCUAUAAAGGAAGCAAAGAGGACGAUAACGGGCCGUAUAUUUAUUUAAUAAUAAUUGUGAAAUAAAUGCUGCCGCUGGCGGGUGCUGUUUCGCAUUACCAAGUGUCGUACUGCCGUACUGAUGGUGUUUCUUUCGACAUAAUGAAAACGACCUAAAAUGCAUGCACUCCCAUACACACACAACACACACCCUCUCUCUCGCACAUACAUACAUACAUAUGCACACACACUCGCAGGGUCACGACGAGCCUUUCCUGGAGCAGUGGCAUCAGAAGCUGCACACCAACACCUCCCCCGAUGACGUCAUCAUUUGUGAGGCGUAUCUCGCCUUUCUGCACAGGUGGGCAUGUCUGUCUGUCUGUCUGUCUGUGUACAUAUGUUUACGUCCGUAUUCUGUUAUAGGUUCCGGUGGGUGGGGUGGGGUGGGGUGGUGGAGUAUGAUGGCCUACGAACAACCUUAUUCUGCAAUUAAACAAGGAAUUGCAAAGUAGAGGUUGGGAGAGGGGGCAAGACAGGGGGAAAAGGGGGUGAAAAAGGUGCACAUACACACAUACACACAUGCACAUACACACAGUCCCGGCACGACAGAUAUGCUAAGGCAGGGGGGAGGUUGUCCCGAAACAUAGCAUCGGGCGAGAGGUAGCCCGGACUGCCAGCAGGCUAGUACUGGUUGCACUGAUAAAGCUAUAUACCCCCCCACUUGGCGUUAUCCUACACGAUCACACCGCAGCAACCACCUUAACUGCUGCCCCCCUGAUCCCCCUGCCGUACCUUGUGCCGUACAGCGGCAACCAUGACGACUACUGGCGGGUGCUUUGGGAGCGCGGUCGGCUCUCCCGGGAGCAGCUGGGGUCCUGGCCUAAGCCGCUGACGGGUGUGUAUGUGUGUAUGUAUGUUGUUACAGGGUGGUAUAGCUUCACCAGCGGCCCCCUUUCCCUUGAAGGCAGUUGGCCCUGCUCUCCCCUGCUAGAGGGGCACCCUAAUCCGUUCACCCCAUCCGACUUCAGAGUGUAUUCGUUGGGUUCGGCAACUCACCACCAGCAUCCAACCAAAUCUAGCGGAUCAACGGCGCNNNNNNNNNNNNNNNNNNNNNNNNNNNNNNNNNNNNNNNNNNNNNNNNNNACGGCGCAUCAACUUAGCUCCUGGCCAGCUCGCAAGUUGAUAUUAUCACGUCCUAUAACGUCCACAAGAUGGGGGGCCACCUCCCAUUUCAUCACUCCUCAAACACCCGAGGAGCUGGCAGGCGGAUUUGAACCCGGACCCUCCGGGAGCAGAAAUCAGGCCUUAACUUCUGCCAGCCACCUGCCUGUGUGUAUGUAUGUAUGUGCGUGCGUGUUGGGGGUGCGUGUGUGUAUGUCUAUGUGCAUGUGUUUGUGUGUUUGUACGAACUGAACCCCGAGAAGUACAUACAUACAUACAUGUGG